rnacentral:rRNA from 1 species
CGCGUAGGCGGCUUUGUAAGUCUGGAGUGAAAGUCCUCUUUUCAAGGGAGGAAUUGCUUUGGAAACUAUAGAGCUUGAGUGCAGGAGAGGUUAUCGGAAUUCCCGGUGUAGCGGUGAAAUGCGUAGAUAUCGGGAGGAACAUCGGUGGCGAAGGCGGAUAACUGGACUGCAACUGACGCUGAGGCGCGAAAGUGUGGGGAGCAAACA